GGCGGCGGGCUAGGCCGGGGGGUUCGGCGUCCCCUGUAACCGGAAACCGCCGAUAUGCCGGGGCCGAAGCCCGGGGGGCGGUUCCCAAAACCGCGCCCCAAAGCCGGGGUAUAACGAUGAGCCCUCGUCCCGGGGGGCCGGCGGUGGGCGAGGUCCGGCUGGAGGGCCGGGCUAACGCCCUUUGCCCGCCGAACCCCGCCAGGCCCGGAAGGGAGCAGCGGUAGGCGGGACGUUCGGCGCUCCCGGGGUAGCGGGGGUGAGGGAGCCCCGGCGGAGGGGCGCGGCGGAGGGUUCCCACCCCCGGGCGCGCCCGCCGCC
rnacentral:SRP_RNA from 1 species